CCUACGGGAGGCAGCAGUGAGGAAUAUUGGUCAAUGGGCUUACGCCUGAACCAGCCAAGUCGCGUGAGGGAAGACUGCCCUAUGGGUUGUAAACCUCUUUUGUCAGGGAGCAACGCCGGCUACGUGUAGCCGGACUGAGAGUACCUGAAGAAAAAGCAUCGGCUAACUCCGUGCCAGCAGCCGCGGUAAUACGGAGGAUGCGAGCGUUAUCCGGAUUGAUUGGGUUUAAAGGGUGCGUAGGCGGAAUGCCAAGUCAGCGGUAAAAUCGCGGGGCUCAACCUCGCUCCGCCGUUGAAACUGGCGUUCUUGAGUGGGCGAGAAGUAUGCGGAAUGCGUGGUGUAGCGGUGAAAUGCAUAGAUAUCACACAGAACUCCGAUUGCGAAGGCAGCAUACCGGCGCCCAACUGACGCUGAAGCACGAAAGCGUGGGUAUCGAACAGGAUUAGAUACCCUUGUAGUC
rnacentral:rRNA from 1 species